rnacentral:miRNA from 1 species
GAAGUAGCUGAUAUUAUUAGACUGGUGCAAAAGUAAUUGCUGCUUUUGCCAUGAAAGGUAAUGGUAAAAACCACAAUUACUUUUUAACCCAACUAAUAUUAUUU